UACGAAGGGGGCUAGCGUUGCUCGGAAUCACUGGGCGUAAAGCGCACGUAGGCGGUUUGCUAAGUCAGGGGUGAAAUCCUGGAGCUCAACUCCAGAACUGCCUUUGAUACUGGCGGACUUGAGUCCGGGAGAGGUGAGUGGAACUGCGAGUGUAGAGGUGAAAUGCGCAGAUAUCAGGAGGAACACCGGUGGCGAAGGCGGCAUCCUGGACCGGUAUUGACGCUGAGGCGCGAAAGCCAGGGGAGCAAACGGG
rnacentral:rRNA from 1 species